rnacentral:rRNA from 1 species
UACGUAGGGGGCAAGCGUUGUCCGGAUUUAUUGGGCGUAAAGAGCGUGUAGGCGGCCAGAUAGGUCCGUUGUGAAAACUGGAGGCUUAACCUCCAGCGGUCGAUGGAAACCAUCUGGCUAGAGUCCGGAAGAGGAGAGUGGAAUUCCGUGGUGUAGCGGUGAAAUGCGCAGAUAUCAGGAAGAACACCCGUGGCGAAGGCGGCUCUCUGGGACGGUACUGACGCUGAGACGCGAAAGCGUGGGGAGCGAACAGG